AUUGAACGCUGGCGGCAGGCCUAACACAUGCAAGUCGAGCGAGUGGCGGACGGGUGAGUAAUGUAUGGGAAACUGCCCGAUAGAGGGGGAUAACUACUGGAAACGGUAGCUAAUACCGCAUACUAUCGGAUGUGCCCAUAUGGGAUUAGCUAGUAGGUGGGGUAACGGCUCACCUAGGCGACGAUCCCUAGCUGGUCUGAGAGGAUGAUCAGCCACACUGGGACGGAGACACGGCCCAGACUCCUACGGGAGGCAGCAGUGGGGAAUAUUGCACAAUGGGCGCAAGCCUGAUGCAGCCAUGCCGCGUGUAUGAAGAAGGCCUUCGGGUUGUAAAGUACUUUCAGCGGGGAGGCGUUACCCGCAGAAGAAGCACCGGCUAACUCCGUGCCAGCAGCCGCGGUAAUUC
rnacentral:rRNA from 1 species